rnacentral:rRNA from 1 species
AGAACGAACGCUGGCGGCGUGGAUAAGACAUGCAAGUCGAACGGGAUUUGUUUUGUAGCAAUACAAGGCAAGUCCAGUGGCGUAAGGGUGCGUAACACGUGGGCAAUCUGCCGAGAAGUGGGGGAUAGCUCGCCGAAAGGCGAAUUAAUACCGCAUGUGGUUAGUGAGGACAUCCUCGCGACACCAAAGCCGGGGCAACCUGGCGCUUCUUGAUGAGCCCGCGGCCUAUCAGCUAGUUGGUGAGGUAACGGCUCACCAAGGCUAUGACGGGUAGCUGGUCUGAGAGGACGACCAGCCACACUGGAACUGAGACACGGUCCAGACACCGUACGGGUGCAGCAGUCGAGUAAUUUUCACAAGUACGGGGGAAACCCUGGAACGGAGCGGACGCCGGCGGUGGAGGA